AUAGAAUUAUACUAUACUAACGCUUGAAAAUAAUUGAAUAAGAAAAAAGUGGAAGGACUGGAAGUACUGACUGCUAUGCAAGGUCAAAUAUAAAUAUGGAUUGAAUCAUUAUAAAGUUUAGUGUCCGUUUAGUAGCCGUACUAUUUCAACCAAAAACUGUUCAAGCACUAACAUAUGGUUUAAUAUAUACUAUUAGAACGCGAUCCAAAAAAGUUCAGGUAUUUUCAAUUCAAUUUGGCGCUGAAGUAAACUAUAGAAAUCCAAAUUGUACCUAUACAUCUCGUAUCGAGUUAUCGGAAAUUGACGGAUUGAUUUGCAAGACUAAUUUUAUCUCCGGCAUAAGAUAUGGUCUUCAAUGUGGUAAUAUUAAAUUACGUCUGAGACCUCUUGACGAAGAUGGUCACCUCGAAUAUGAAUACAAAUGUAAGCCACAAUAGUUUACACUUAUUUCUGAAUAAUAAGUUAUGUUAAUCAAACUACAUUUCCGGAUUUUUUCAGUAUUUAUUUUCAAUUUUUAUUAGCUAAUUUUAUAUAACCUUAAACCAAAUUAAAUAUAAAAUAAUGGGCUGCAGUAUUAUUAUUACAUAGGAAAAUAAGUUUAAGAAUCAAUGUGUCCCACAUGUUAUAUUAUUUACUUGUAUAGUCUUGUCUAGUUGUCAAGUAAUUAUAAUAUUUUAUACUCUUUAUUUAUUAUCGUUUUCAAGCAACAUUUUAUGUCAAAAUUACAUUAUAUAUAGCACUCAUAACUCUUGAAAGGUCGGUGUCACUUGCACACUGAGAUUUGAGUCCAACUCGGUAAUUAAUAUUUAAUACUAUUUGUUCUUAAGUCACACUUGCAUAGCUUAAUUUGACGUAAAAUUGUAUUCUUCCACGCGACGACUGCACUUGACCCUCUUUUCAACUCGCUAUGAAAACAACGGCUGAUAUCGCGACAUGAAGCAUUAAAUUGUCGCAUUUAUUUACGUACUCUAACCAAGUAUAGAUUUUAUGCUCCAUCAGGCAUCAAGUCUCUUGCAGUUUCGCAAUAGCGUUAAAAACCACAUUGUCAAUUCCAAAUCAUUUUCAAAUAUUGGUAUUCUACUCUGUUGUAAUAAUUACAUAGACGAUGAAGAUGGGCCAACGGUGUGCCAGAACAAUGCUAAAGAAAAAUUUCAUUCCACUGCUAUCAAAACUACAUCACCACCAGCGUUAUUUUAAUAUAUUAUAUUAUUCUUUCUUGUACUCCCCGCUACUAGUGUAAACUACAUGAUCAAUUGGUCAAUCAUAUUUUUAUAUUUAAGUACCUAUAAAUAUAUUCAUGUUAGGUACAUUGUAUAAUAUUAUAUCGAUAGUUUUCUAUCCCUCCUGAAAUUCAAUUUAAACCAUCUAAUCCAACUCAUAUUUUUAUUUUAUCCAUAACUAUAUUAACAAAAAAAAAAAAAAACAUUAAUAUAUCUAAAUAAUGAGUUAAAAAAUGACGUGCCCGGUGACUCACAAGUGGGACCGUGGCGUCGGCAACGUCCAAACACUACGCCUUAUUUAAUGAACGGUAAUUAUGAUUAUUACUUAUUGCAAAUAAAAAAAAAACCAUCAAUAUAUAUAUAGGUAUUAUAUAUAUAUAUAAUAUAUAUAUAUCAAUCGUUUUACCACGGCGGCCGAAAUUUAAAAAACACAUUAUUAUAAUAAGGUAAUAUAGUUAUUAAAAAUAUAUUUAAUCCACUUUCAUCUUAUCCUUAAUCACGCUGUCGUUUGUAAUAAAUACAUUAAAAAAAAAAAUGUAUUGUUAUAUUAUAAAUACGAUUUAAGGAAUAUUUAUGUUUGUAUUUUAUAUGUAUGUCAUAAGUAUUCCAUUUAAUAAUAUGUGAUAAUCUAAAAAUUAUUUUAUUUUUAUUGGUACCUAAUAUCCAUUACUAUAAAUAUUUAUUGUCAUGGUGACACGGAGAACAUUUUUAACACAACUGUAUUAUUUUAUAUACUGUACAUUUACCAAAAACUUGUAAAAUGUUUGCCAAAAAAUUAUUUAAUAUUUGUAUUUUAAUUACAACAAUAAAAUAUUUUAACAUGAUUA